rnacentral:rRNA from 1 species
GACGAACGCUGGCGGCGUGCCUAAUACAUGCAAGUAGAACGCACAGUUUAUACCGUAGCUUGCUACACCAUAGACUGUGAGUUGCGAACGGGUGAGUAACGCGUAGGUAACCUGCCUGGUAGCGGGGGAUAACUAUUGGAAACGAUAGCUAAUACCGCAUAAUAUUGAUUAUUGCAUGAUAAUUGAUUGAAAGAUGCUAUUGCAUCACUACCAGAUGGACCUGCGUUGUAUUAGCUAGUAGGUGAGGUAACGGCUCACCUAGGCGACGAUACAUAGCCGACCUGAGAGGGUGAUCGGCCACACUGGGACUGAGACACGGCCCAGACUCCUACGGGAGGCAGCAGUAGGGAAUCUUCGGCAAUGGACGAAAGUCUGACCGAGCAACGCCGCGUGAGUGAAGAAGGUUUUCGGAUCGUAAAGCUCUGUUGUAAGAGAAGAACGGGUGUGAGAGCGGAAAGUGCACACUGUGACGGUAUCUUACCAGAAAGGGACGGCUAACUACGU